GCCAGGCGCAGUGGCACAUGCCUGUAGUCCCAGCUAUUUGGGAGGCUGAGGCUUGAGGAUCGCUUGAGUCCGGGGGUUCUGGGUUGUAGUACGCUAUGUUGAUCGGGUGUCUGCACUAAGUUCGACAUCAAUAUGGUGACCUCCCAGGAACGGGGUACCACCAGGUUGCCUAAGAAGGGUGAACUAGCCCAGGUCAGAAAUGGAGCAAGUCAAAACUCCUGUGCUGAUCAGUAGUGGGAUCGCACCUGUGAAUAGCCACUGCACUCCAGCCUGGGCAACAUAGCGAGACUCCUUCUCU
rnacentral:SRP_RNA from 1 species